rnacentral:rRNA from 1 species
CAUGCCCUUACGGGUAGAUCUCCCACCCUUUGUAUACUAUACCUUUGUUGCUUUGGCGGGCCGCCUAGCUACUGGCUUCGGCUGGUAUGUGCCCGCCAGAGGACCCAAAACCCUGAAUUAUUAGUGUCGUCUGAGUAAAAUAUUUAAUAUUUAAAACUUUCAACAACGGAUCUCUUGGCUCUGGCAUCGAUGAAGAACGCAACGAAAUGCGAUAAGUAAUGUGAAUUGCAGAAUUCAGUGAAUCAUCGAAUCUUUGAACGCACAUUGCGCCCCUUGGUAUUCCGAGGGGCAUGCCUAUUCGAGCGUCAUUAUCACCCCUCAAGCCUAGCUUGGUGUUGAGGCCUGCUGUCAAGGCAGCCUCUAAAAUCAGUGGCAGUGCUGUCAGGCUCUAAGCGUAGUAAAUCUAAUCGCUAUAGACACCUGGUGGACACUCGCCAGAACCCCCCCAUUUUUUAAUGAUUGACCUCGGAUUAGGUAGGGAUACCCCGCCGAACUUAAACCUAUCAAUAAGCGGAA